UUGAGCGGAUUGCGGGGAAACUCGCACGAUUCGUUCUUAGGGGGGAACGGCCCCGAAAGGGGCCUGCCCUACCCGAC
rnacentral:ncRNA from 1 species